UACGGGAGGCAGCAGUAGGGAAUCUUCCGCAAUGGACGAAAGUCUGACGGAGCAACGCCGCGUGAACGAUGAAGGCUUUCGGGUCGUAAAGUUCUGUUGUUAGGGAAGAACAAGUACCGGAGUAACUGCCGGUACCUUGACGGUACCUAACCAGAAAGCCACGGCUAACUACGUGCCAGCAGCCGCGGUAAUACGUAGGUGGCAAGCGUUGUCCGGAAUUAUUGGGCGUAAAGCGCGCGCAGGUGGUUCUUUUAAGUCUGAUGUGAAAGCCCACGGCUCAACCGUGGAGGGUCAUUGGAAACUGGGGAACUUGAGUGCAGAAGAGGAAAGUGGAAUUCCACGUGUAGCGGUGAAAUGCGUAGAGAUGUGGAGGAACACCAGUGGCGAAGGCGACUUUUCUGGUCUGUAACUGACACUGAGGCGCGAAAGCGUGGGGAGCGACAGGGAUUAGAUACC
rnacentral:rRNA from 1 species